CGCCGCCUCCUGCAGCUUCUGUUCCAGCACCUCGUCCUCCUCCAGGAGGUCCCUGAUGUCCUUCAGGGAGGCCUCCACGUCUGUGAACACCCCCGACAGCACUGCAGGCGGACACAGAGGAGAGGGGGACAGCAGCAGGUGACCUCCACCUGCUCCAUACUCACCCUGCAUGGACUGGACGAGGUUCCUGACGGUGUCGGGACGGACGCUGAGAGCCGCACACUUCUCCAUGAGCUGGGGUGGGAUGUGGUUGUAGGCGUCGAGGUUGUCCACUGUCUCAGGAUCCAGCUGCAGUGAAUCCAUGAACUGGCUGUGGGGCAACAGGACCAGGUGGCCCAGAGGAGACAGGAGGCCGAGCGGCCACCACACUCCAGCCAGCCAACAGCACCAAGCUGGACGGAAGAAACAGUCCUGCUUACUUAGGGGUGACACCUCAGCGCCGCCCCCCGCCGCGCCCACAGCGCACUCACAUGAGCCACAGCCGCGAAGUAGUAGAUCUUCAUCUGCACCAGCUUCUUCCAGUCCUUCUGGA